rnacentral:rRNA from 1 species
GACGAACGCUGGCGGCGUGCUUAACACAUGCAAGUCGAACGGAAAGGCCUGCUUUCCCUUGUGGAUUGCGGGUACUCGAGUGGCGAACGGGUGAGUAACACGUGAGUGAUCUGCCCCCAACUUGGGUAUAAGCCUGGGAAACUGGGUCUAAUUCCCGAUAGGACUGCAGGGUGGUGCCUGUGGUGGAAAACGAUUUUCUAGUGGUUGGGGAUGAGCUCGCGGCCUAUCAGCUUGUUGGUGGGGGAAUGGCCUACCAAGGCGGCGACGGGUAGCCGGCCGGAGGGGGUGGACGGCCUCAUUGGGACUGAGAUACGGCCCAGACUCCUACGGGAGGCAGCAGUGGGGAAUAUUGCACAAUGGGCGGAAGCCUGAUGCAGCGACGCCGCGUGGGGGAUGACGGCCUUCGGGUUGUAAACUCCUUUCGACCGCGAGGAAGCCACCUGGUUGGAAGGGUGGUGACGGUAGUGGUAGAAGAAGCACCGGCUAACUACGUG